GAUGUGGUACCACAGAUUGUCCCACCUACACGGCAGGCUUCAGGACUUGCUGAAGGGAGGAGUCAUAUAUCCAGCCCUUCCACAGCCCAACUUCAAAAGCUUACUUCCUUUAGCUGUCCAUUGGCACCAUACAGCCUCCAAGUCUCUGACUUGUGCUUGGCAGCAACAUGAAGAUCAUUUUGAGCUGAAAUAUGCUAAUACCGUGAUGCGCUUUGAUUAUGUCUGGCUUCGAGACCACUGCCGCUCAGCAUCGUGCUACAACUCUAAGACUCACCAGCGCAGCCUGGAUACUGCCAGUGUGGAUUUAUGUAUCAAGCCAAAGACCAUUCGUCUGGAUGAGACCACACUCUUUUUCACUUGUGAGUGGACAGGAGACUUGAUCUUCUUUGGGGGUACUCUUCUGAAGGACAGUUAUUUUGUGGAAAAUGGUUUGUUCCUUUCAAAAAUAGGUUAUUAGUUACUUUUCUUUUUUUCUUGUUUUGGAAGGAUUUUUUGAAACAUUUUAUUUUUCUCUUCAAAUAAAAUUGUUACAAUCCACAGCUAA
rnacentral:sRNA from 1 species